rnacentral:rRNA from 1 species
AACGUAGGUGGCAAGCGUUAUCCGGAAUUACUGGGCGUAAAGGGUGUGCAGGCGGGGGAGUAAGUGGUGUAUGAAAUCUCCGGGCUUAACCGGGAGAGGUUAUGCCAGACUGCUCUUCUAGAGGACGAGAGAGGGGGGUGGAAUUCCGGGAGUAGUGGUGAAAUGCGUAGAGAUCCGGAGGAACCCCAGAGGCGAAGGCGGCCCCCUGGCUCGUACCUGACGCUCAGCCACGAAAGCAUGGGGAGCGAACGGG